CAAAUACACAAUGCUUUGGGUAAGCCACACCCCUUUUCUAGUAGUAAACCUAAGUUUUCCAUUCAGAACUUUUGCUGCAGUAUCUUAGUGUGCAUGUGUGUGCUAAGAAAGUCAUAGUGCAUGUGCCUCAUGCUCCCAUUCUUCUUUGGGGACAGGACCACAUCUCCUGGUGUAGCUGGUCCCUUGCUGCAGUACGUGCUGGAAGUGUAGUCCUGUCCUGGAGAAGGUUCAUGCUGAAGGAGAAGGAGGAAGCUUGGUUCAGAAAGGCUGUAACAGGGGAGAUGGAAUAUCACCUCCUGGACAUCCCGUCCCGUGAGAACUGCCUGUCUGCACUGAGUUCAUACACGCAGCUGAAAGGGCAGCUGAAAGGGGAAACCUGAGACACCUCAUCAUAUCCGGCAAUGCAGCAAAGCUUCCAAGGUGUUGCUUCUGGGGGAGUCAAGCGACGGUGUUUGCAGUAUAGAUGAUCAGUCAUGAGGAGAUUUAACACAACUUCCAGACCAGACAGACCUAGCCUUAAUUAGGAGAUAAUCAGAAACAGUGGUAAGCAAAACCGAAAGUGCAGGCUAACUAGAAACAAGAUUCCUGCUUUCUGAAAUGGUCUGAGUUGUCAGAAUUUGUUUUAUUUUCACUCUAGCAUGAAGCAAACACUUUAAAAACAGACAAACAAACAAAGAAGAAAGCGCAUCAGUCCAGAACAGCCAACAGCCAAGUUUGAAGAUAUCCCUGUGAAUUUAAGAGACUUAGGCUCUGCCUGAUUGCCAUUUCACCUACAGCCCAAGCACAAAAGCCUGAAAUCCUAUGCAAGAUGGCAAAGAAAGGACAUCCUACAUCUGCCCCGCAGGAACGAUGGCAGCAGGCUGACAUGCUAGAGCUUCCUCCCUAAGAAACAUUUCCUCGCCACUCUACAGAUUACUGGAUUCAUAGGUUUUCACAGGGAGAGAAGACCUAAUAAUCACUUCAUCGGUGAGGUUGGUACCUUAGGAACCACCACUUUGAGGAAGAAAGGGAAGAAGCAACAGUUUUGUGUAACUGCUUCACAGCGCUGGAGGGACGGCAGCUGCUCGGAGGCCUGAGGGGAGAGAACAGUCCCCCGGAAGCCAAAGAGUAACUGAGAGGCCGAUAUGGAGAGACUACGGGAAACCUUGGGAGAUGGUUAUGGACCUCUUGCAGUGGCUGCCCAGCAAGUUUACCUCUUCCUUGCUGCUGUGCACCUUUUUGCCAUACAAAUAACAGCACUUGAUAGGGAGCAGCUGAGGCUCCCGAUACGGCUGCCGGGGGCUCGGGCAGAGGGCGGUGCUGCCCUCUCUCCAGCCGUGCUGGACCGCGCACCUCCUCAUGCCGGGCAGCUCAUCUGGCGCUCGAAGAGCUUCAGCCUUGGACAUUCACGCGCUGACCUCGAGGCCACAUCUUUCCCUGGCCUGUUUCUCCUGAUGUCAGCGAUUAAUUGCAUAAGCUAGUAAUUCCUCUGUAUCAUUUUAGUUUAGAAAAUGCCAGCUGGCGAUGUCUGUUAACCAAACAUCUUUAGAAUGGGUUUUAGGGAACUUCUCCCGUGUGUAAUUUGUCCAUUUUACACUGCCUUUCCGCAGAACGCCACAGGCUCCCCGUUCUGGCUCCGUUCAGCAGACAGAGUUAUCACUGUCGUAGAAACUGCCGGUGAAGAGGCAGCGUAACAAAAUCUGUUGCGUGUUCGUGCUGCGUCGCCUCCAGUAAUACUGGAAUGAGGUUCAUUUGUGAUUCUUCUUUCAGAGACUUUUCUGAGUUAUGCUGGUAUUUGUGAAAACACUCUCAGUAAUUCAUCAUUUCCUUAUCAACAGUUACAGGAAAGAAAACCUCAUCAUCCUUGGAGCAUGCUGGACUACAGGUACGGAAUAAUGUGUGAGCCCAUUUCAGGCUUUUUUUUAAUUCAAGGCAAGAUCUCCUUGUCCUCUGAAAAACAAAAGUAUCCAAGCAUCCCACUACAUGGGCAGUGCAAACACAUGGCCUUUCAGCACUGAUGUGGCACCUUCAAAGUACUGUUUCUGUGCAAUAUGGUCAAUAAAGAGCAUCCAGUGUGGAUGUAAUUUCUCUUCUGUAUUUUAGAUGGGGAAAAGCUUAUGUGAUCUGGUUGUGCAAAGGAAAUUAAAAUGGUUAAAAAGAGACUGCUGCUUCCCAGAAAGGACUGGAAAGAUCACAUUGUUUAAUAAAGCUAUUUUUGCAGUCAGUGUUACUUUUGUGCUUCCCGAGAAGAAUUAAUCCAGACAGAUCCAUAUAACCUGGAGUCUGAGUCACAGACAUAAUUUUUAGGCAGAGUGAGAUUUGAUCGUCCUCCCCCACACCUCGUGCUUUAUAGUAAAAGCUAAACUGAGCCAACAAACAUUGCUUUUCACGUAGCCCAAACUGAAACUAACAUGCUACGGAGGAGAAGGUUACAGUUUAUUUUGAGCCUGCUGUGUCAUUCAGACUUGGCCUGAGACGUACCCGUAUAAUCAGCAGCCUUGGCAGUAAGUCCCAGCGGCAGCUUUUUAGGUUAGAGAGGCCUUGCUUAAGUAUAAAAAUGCAAUCAGCAUUUCAGAGCCAAAGAGCCAGCACUAAAUAAUCCCUACCUUUUUUUCUCAGCCAUUUUUUUUUCAUUUGGUUAAUUAACUUUAUUUUCCUUUGAUUUGUUUGCAGACAACAGAAAACUAUUAAGAAAAAAAAAAGUUCUCCUCUCAGUAGGGAUAUUCACGUUAAAAGAGAAAGCAAAUUGCUCAUUAUUUUCUGCAAAGAACUUCAAAAAGCAAGGGCUGAAGGAAAGCACUGAGCUAAUGGUAUUGUUUCAAAGCUGACACUAACAUCUUUCAACUUUCUUAUAAUUUUAAGAGCAUUGGAAAGCUCUAAUUAUUAGCUAUGAGCCGAACACCAACAUUUUUUAAAGGUAUAAGCAAAAAAAGCCAACUCUAUGGGCUACCUUCCCAGCCCAGUGCUGUUACACAUCCAGGCUGUCCUAUUGCCAUCAGGUGGGACAAGUGGCCCCAUGUCCCAUAACCUGGCUAGGAGUUAGACACCUGGAUGAUGGCUGGUCAUCCUCGACUGCCUUUAAAAUCCAUGGAGAUAGUAGGCUACUCUAGAUGGUGGUUUACCCACACCGUCUCAGAGGCCAGUCUUACUAGGGUAAGAUGAAUUGGCUUUUGGUUUCUGCUUUGAAUAUAAAGGGGAACUAAGAUGUCCGGCUUAGACAUUUCAGACACUGAUGUUAGGGCAAAUAAACCUCACCUUGGUUAUUCACCUCUGUGUUCUCUCAUGUCUCUAAUAGUUUCCACCAUAAAGUUUGUUUUUUUAGGUCUGUCUAUAGAGAAGCUUGAUUUUAGCUCUGGUGAUAACACUCAGCAGUACCUUCCGUCAGACAACAAAUAGUGCUACUUUAUACAUAAGCUUCAUGCUAUAGUAAAUGUCAGAGUUGGACUUCAAUACCUCAGACCAUCUGUAGCUGGUAUUGAGACAUCCUUCAUUAGUUUCUGGUUAUGAUCAACUAUUAAAGCGGAUUGCUUUUUAAGUAAAGACAUUGUGUACUAUGUCUUAAUUUAAUUGUCUAAUCACUGCCACAUUUUUCAGAGUUCUUGCACUGUCUUCUGCUGACAGAUGUUGUUUAAAUUAAAUAUAUAUAUAUAUAUAUAUCUUUACUUAUUAGUGCAUUAUUUAUCCAGGGAAAAAAAAUCUGGCAUCUCAUUUUAUAGGGAAUCAGUCAGUUGCUUCAGAUGUCAACUUUGGAGUUCAUUAUUUCCAAAGGCCUAGCAAGUUUUUAUUCUUUCGUGUUUUCAGAACCUGUUCAUCAAGGUCAAGCAGUACUUGUUUUCUUUCACAUGUUGACUGAGGCUGAUUUACUAAUUUAACUCUCUGUCUUUUGCAAUUGUUCAUGAAGAGCUUAUGUAAUGCAGACUAUGAUAGGCUGUAUUUUGGGUUAUCUCAGUUUCAGUUAAAUUUGGUGGAGGUACUUAAUAAAAAAAAUGGGCAGUGACAGAAAUGUAGUCUCUACAGAAAGAAAACAAUUUUCAGUGCUUACUCAAUGAAAUGCCGCUGGAGUGAAAAGCUGUGGGAAAUCUGAAGUGUUUCCAAAAGAGUGACACAUAGCUUUAAAUUAUAUAUGAUCAUACAUGAAUUCUAAAUUCUCAAAACUCAAUUUUGAGCAAAAAUCUAAUCAAAGAAUGUGUACGUCAGAUUGUCUAAUGUUCAGAGUGGAAAUCUCUCUUGAAAGGACGGUGCCUGACUAAUCAGACCUGUUCAGAGGUGCUGGCUCGGGUAAAGAAGAAAAAUCUAAAAUGAGCAGCUUAAUAUACCGUAGACUUUUAAAUUAGCCUCUAAAUUGCCUGAGAUUCCUUGAAAACACAAAACAGUGAACUCUGGAAUCUUCCUCAAAAGUAUUUUAAGGUGAAUAAAAGAUGUCUCUCAGAGUAUAGCAGUCUUUGCGAGGGGCUUGGAAAACUGCUUUAUGAAUAUAAAUGUGAAGAAAGAUUCAGGAUAACAUUCAAGUAAUAAAAAUUACUUCGGAAGCACAGUUUUAGGUUUAUGAAAGAUUUUUCAUCCAUUUUAAUGCAUGCAGUUUAUUUAGCUUCAGCAGUUUGCCUUCUGACUUUAACACACUUGAACAUUGCUCUCACAUGCAACCAAAUAACUUCUACUAACUUCAGGAGAAUAUUCUGAAGCUGUCAUUUUUUUCUAAACUUAAGACUAAAAUCAGAUUAUGGUUUUCCCUCACUUUGUGUGAAGCGGGAAUUUAAAGAAGACAGAACUGUCUUAGCACAUGCUACGCUAAUAUUAAUGAGAGAUUAGUUUAACAUUUUCCUAUGAGCUUUGUCUUUUUUUUUUCCUUUUUUACUAAACAUACACUGAAUACCUAGUGCAUGUGUCCAGCUUUUGGUGUAUAACACCAUGCAUGCAUUAGAGUGCAAAAGCAUUUUUUGCAAUUUUUUUCUCACUAAUUAUUUUAUUGACUAUAAAUUAUGUUUGCCUCAACAGUAUAAACAAAUGUCAUUCUACCACUCAGUUACCUGAUUCCCAUUUAAAGUAUCUAUUCAGUUUACAUAAAUAUGCAUAUGAAUAUGUAAAUAUAAUAUGUACAUGUAAAUGUAACCUUUUUCUUCCUAUAAACCGUAUAUUAAUGGCAACUCACUUUAGUGUCAUCAGCAGCUAGAUAUUUUGUGGGUAAACUAGAUAUUUUCAGGAGUGCCUCUUGGAUUUACUAGCAAAAACUUUAUUCUAGGUGGAUAGUUCCUAAAUGACUGAAGGUAACUACAUGAUGCAGUAAUUCACAUGUCUGCGGUUUCAUUUACAGUGUAAGUACUUUGGAUUUUUGAAACAGUACAGUCCUGAUAGUGCAGUUCUGAACAUAAGUUAAUUUGCCUUACGGAGAAGAUUUGUAGCAAAAAAAUGGAAGUGUAGAAUGAUAAAACUGGUGGGACCCAGAGAGCUGAUCUCGUCCAUCCCUCUGGCCUUCGUGAUAGAUGCUUUUCUAACUUUUUCUUAAGAACUUACAGUAAUGAAAGUUCCACAAGUGCCACAGGCAUUUCAGAUUAGUGCAUUGCUACUGGUGCUUUGCUUACAUUGGAAGCUAUUCCUGAUAUCUAAAAUGGGUCUUACUUGAAGUAAUGUAAUUCCUUGUAAUUGUCACUCUUUGUGCCUUAGACACUGAGAAUAAAUUCUUCCAUUCUUCUUUUGUAGCAGAAUUUUAUGUAAUUGUAUUUGAUGUCUAAAACCUAUCUCCAUCAGCCUUCUCUCAUUUAGACUCCAGAAUUCCAGUUCUUCCCAGUCUUUUGUCUCCCUCAGUCAUGUUUUCUAUACCUCAUUGUUCUCCUUUGGGUUGUCUCCACUGGAUCUGCAUCUUCCUCCAAGGGCAGUACCCAAACCAGCGCUCUGUAUUCAGCUGAGGCCUCACCAGCGCUGAACACAGCACAAGAAUUACUUCAUCUUUCCUACAGGCGGUAGGAAACCUGAGCUGGGUGCUGACAUGGCUGUUCCACUUCCAGUUCCAGGAUUAUCUCAUUUGCAACUAGCUUGGAUAUCUCUGACUGAUACCAUGUUGCAGGAUAGGCAAAAUCCCUUCAGUGUUUUGUAAAUCUUUCCAUUGAUCUAAAUGAAAAAGGGAUUUGAGAUAUGAAUCAUCCAGAUGUUGUCACCAGUAUUCAUAACUGAACUAAUAAUCCCUGGUUAAAAACCAAACCAAACCAAACCAAACCAAAAAAAAAAAAAAAAAAAAAAGGGAAGGUUUAUACACAUCAGUAACACAGUAACACAAAGCAAAUAUUAAUGUUGAAAAAAAGAAGGAAUAUCGUUAAAUAUGUCAGAAGUGAGGUUAUUAGUGCAAUCCCAGUCUGGCGUGUCUGUGUAUGUCUGUCAGUAGCAGACUUGAAUUAAAUCUUAUUCUUUUCUUUUUCAAAUCUAAAGCAGGAAUGAGGUAUUAUUAAAUAUUUUUCUUCUAUUCUUCUGGUGCAAUGUGGCUCUAGAUCUUAUUUAGUGCAUCC